rnacentral:rRNA from 1 species
ACGGGAGGCAGCAGUGGGGAAUAUUGCACAAUGGGCGAAAGCCUGAUGCAGCGACGCCGCGUGAGUGAAGAAGUAUCUCGGUAUGUAAAGCUCUAUCAGCAGGGAAGAAAAUGACGGUACCUGACUAAGAAGCCCCGGCUAACUACGUGCCAGCAGCCGCGGUAAUACGUAGGGGGCAAGCGUUAUCCGGAUUUACUGGGUGUAAAGGGAGCGUAGACAGCAAAUCAAGUCUGAAGUGAAAGCCCGCGGCUCAACUGCGGAACUGCUUUGGAAACUGAUUAGCUAGAGUGUCGGAGAGGUGAGUGGAAUUCCCAGUGUAGCGGUGAAAUGCGUAGAUAUUGGGAGGAACACCGGUGGCGAAGGCGGCUCACUGGACGAUAACUGACGUUGAGGCUCGAAAGCGUGGGGAGCAAACAGGAUUAGAUACCCUGGUA